GUGGCAUCACUGUCACAGUCCCGCUAGGUGGCAUCACUGUCACAGUCCCGCUAGGUGGCAUCACUGUCACAGUCCCGCUAGGUGGCAUCACUGUAACAGUCCCGCUAGGUGGCAUCACUGUAACAGUCCCGCUAGGUGGCAUCACUGUAACAGUCCCGCUAGGUGGCAUCACUGUAACAGUCCCGCUAGGUGGCAUCACUGUAACAGUCCCGCCAGGUGGCAUCACUGUAACAGUCCCGCUAGGUGGCAUCACUGUCACAGUCCCGCUAGGUGGCAUCACUGUAACAGUCCCGCUAGGUGGCAUCACUGUCACAGUCCCGCUAGGUGGCAUCACUGUCACAGUCCCGCUAGGUGGCAUCACUGUAACAGUCCCGCUAGGUGGCAUCACUGUAACAGUCCCGCUAGGUGGCAUCACUGUAACAGUCCCACUAGGUGGCAUCACUGUCACAGUCCCGCUAGGUGGCAUCACUGUCACAGUCCCGCUAGGUGGCAUCACUGUCACAGUCCCGCUAGGUGGCAUCACUGUAACAGUCCCGCUAGGUGGCAUCACUGUAACAGUCCCGCUAGGUGGCAUCACUGUAACAGUCCCGCUAGGUGGCAUCACUGUCACAGUAGUGUUAUAGCAGGUACAGGUUAUAUCUGCGUCCCUAAUCCCUGUAGUCCUUUUAGCCACGGCUCAAAACCAACCCAAGGGUUGUAGAGCUAUAUGCACUGUGCAGCCUUUAACCCAGCAGUAACACACCUGAUUAUUCAUCCGA